rnacentral:rRNA from 1 species
UGGGGAAUUUUGGACAAUGGGCGCAAGCCUGAUCCAGCAAUGACGCGUGCAGGAUGAAGGCCUUCGGGUUGUAAAUUGCUUUUGUACGGAACGAAACGGCUCUGUCUAAUACAUGGGGCUAAUGACGGUACUGUAAGAAUAAGCACCGGAUAACUACGUGCCAGCAGCCGCGGUAAUACGUAGGGUGCAAGCGUUAAUCGGAAUUACUGGGCGUAAAGCGUGUGCAGGCGGUGAUGUAAGAGAGGUGUGAAAUCCACGGGCUUAACCUUGGAAUUGCAUUUGUGACUGCACCGCUGGAGUGCCGCAGAGGGGGAUGGAAUUCCGCGUGUAGCAGUGAAAUGCGUAGAUAUGCGGAAGAACACCGAUGGCGAAGGCAAUCCCCUGGGCCUGCACUGACGCUCAUGCACGAAAGCGUGGGGAGCAAACA